UGGACAUGAGUGUUAUGAGGCCC
rnacentral:piRNA from 1 species